rnacentral:rRNA from 1 species
CCUAGGGGAGGCAGCAGUGGGGAAUAUUGGACAAUGGGGGGAACCCUGAUCCAGCCAUGCCGCGUGUGUGAAGAAGGCCCUCGGGUUGUAAAGCACUUUCAGUGAGGAAGAACGCCUGGUGGUUAAUACCCAUCAGGAAAGACAUCACUCACAGAAGAAGCACCGGCUAACUCCGUGCCAGCAGCCGCGGUAAUACGGAGGGUGCGAGCGUUAAUCGGAAUUACUGGGCGUAAAGCGCGCGUAGGUGGCUUGAUAAGCCGGUUGUGAAAGCCCCGGGCUCAACCUGGGAACGGCAUCCGGAACUGUCAAGCUAGAGUGCAGGAGAGGAAGGUAGAAUUCCCGGUGUAGCGGUGAAAUGCGUAGAGAUCGGGAGGAAUACCAGUGGCGAAGGCGGCCUUCUGGACUGACACUGACACUGAGGUGCGAAAGCGUGGGUAGCAAACAGGAUUAGAUACCCCGGUAGUC